rnacentral:rRNA from 1 species
CACGUGGGGAACCUGCCCCAUAGUCUGGGAUACCACUUGGAAACAGGUGCUAAUACCGGAUAAGAAAGCGGAUCGCAUGAUCAGCUUUUAAAAGGCGGCGUAAGCUGUCGCUAUGGGAUGGCCCCGCGGUGCAUUAGCUAGUUGGUAAGGUAAAGGCUUACCAAGGCGAUGAUGCAUAGCCGAGUUGAGAGACUGAUCGGCCACAUUGGGACUGAGACACGGCCCAAACUCCUACGGGAGGCAGCAGA